CGGACGGGUGAGUAAUGUCGGGGAAACUGCCCGAUGGGAGGGGAUAACACUGGAAACGGUAGCUAAUACCGCAUAACGUCGCAAGACCAAAGAGGGGGACCUUAGGGCCUCUUGCCAUCGGAUGUGCCCAGAUGGGAUUAGCUAGUAGGUGGGGUAACGGCUCACCUAGGCGACGAUCCCUAGCUGGUCUGAGAGGAUGACCAGCCACACUGGAACUGAGACACGGUCCAG
rnacentral:rRNA from 1 species